rnacentral:rRNA from 1 species
GAGACACGGCCCAGACUCCUACGGGAGGCAGCAGUGGGGAAUAUUGGACAAUGGGCGCAAGCCUGAUCCAGCCAUGCCGCGUGGGUGAUGAAGGCCCUAGGGUUGUAAAGCCCUUUCGGCGGGGAAGAUAAUGACGGUACCCGCAGAAGAAGCCCCGGCUAACUUCGUGCCAGCAGCCGCGGUAAUACGAAGGGGGCUAGCGUUGCUCGGAAUCACUGGGCGUAAAGCGCACGUAGGCGGAUUGUUAAGUCAGGGGUGAAAUCCUGGAGCUCAACUCCAGAACUGCCUUUGAUACUGGCGAUCUUGAGUCCGGGAGAGGUGAGUGGAACUGCGAGUGUAGAGGUGAAAUUCGUAGAUAUUCGCAAGAACACCAGUGGCGAAGGCGGCUCACUGGCCCGGUACUGACGCUGAGGUGCGAAAGCGUGGGGAGCAAACAAGAUUAGAUACCCUGGUAGUCCACGCCGUAAACGAUGGAUGCUAGCCGUUGGCGGGUUUACUCGUCAGUGGCGCAGCUAACGCUUUAAGC